rnacentral:rRNA from 1 species
AUUGAACGCUGGCGGCAGGCCUAACACAUGCAAGUCGAGCGAGCGGCGGACGGGUGAGUAAUGUAUGGGGACUGCCCGAUAGAGGGGGAUAACUACUGGAAACGGUGGCUAAUACCGCAUACUAUCGGAUAACCCAUAUGGGAUUAGCUAGUAGGUGGGGUAAAGGCUCACCUAGGCGACGAUCUCUAGCUGGUCUGAGAGGAUGAUCUGCCACACUGGGACUGAGACACGGCCCAGACCCCGACGGAGGCAGCAGUGGGGAAUAUUGCACAAUGGGCGCAAGCCUGAUGCAGCCAUGCCGCGUGUAUGAAGAAGGCCUUAGGGUUGUAAAGUACUUUCAGCGGGGAGGCGUUACCAACAGAAUAAGCACCGGCUAACUUCGUGCCAGCAGCCGCGGUAAUAC